UGAUGUCAUUGUUCAUGUAACCAGGUUGCCUGUGCGCUGGGACAAGACUGUGAUCGUUGUGAUGAAUGAGGUGCGUGUUAGCAGUCCAUAUCUUCCUGAAUCUGUUACUGGAGGCACUCCGGCUGCUAAUGAACGAGUGCGGAAAGUGCUUGUAUUGGAGAGGAAGAGGUUGCAAACCCGCAAUAUUGGACAGUGAGAAUUCUUACUGUGUUGUUUUUCUUUGGUCCGAGGUGUUCUUUGCAUCAUUAGCCUACUGAGUAAACAAAUACCAGAGCGUUGCUAAAAAUGCGAAUCCUACUCGAGUGAAGAUGUAUCCGUGUCUCUCCAUCUGUAAGAGGUUUGAAAAAAUAGUGACUGGAGUUGCUCUCUCCCCCACCCGUCCCCCAAAGAAAAUACAGCAAAUUUUUCUUCAUUUGCUUGUCUCGGUGAGGUAAAUUUCAAUUUGCCAUAUUAUGUUUAUGAGGAACCAAAGGUUGAACUUGAAGGAUUGGUGUCUUCUAGUAAAAACACAGCUUUGGGGAUGAGGGAUGAGAGGAAGUUUUCCUUUCCAAUCAGAAUAUUAAAAUUUGGAAUCUUUGAUUUUGUUUACUGAUUUUCAUUCUCCUUUACCUGGAGGGUAAAAAGAAGUUGCCAGUUAGCAAAGAAACGGUGUUCUGUUGUACUAUAUAAAUGAAAGAGGAACAACGCAAAUUGCAUUUUCUAGAGACAGUUUUUUCUUUUA